GAUGAACGCUGGCGGCGUGCCUAAUACAUGCAAGUCGAGCGAACAGACGAGGAGCUUGCUCCUCUGACGUUAGCGGCGGACGGGUGAGUAACACGUGGAUAACCUACCUAUAAGACUGGGAUAACUUCGGGAAACCGGAGCUAAUACCGGAUAAUAUAUUGAACCGCAUGGUUCUAUAGUGAAAGACGGUUUUGCUGUCACUUAUAGAUGGACCCGCGCCGCAUUAGCUAGUUGGUAAGGUAACGGCUUACCAAGGCAACGAUGCGUAGCCGACCUGAGAGGGUGAUCGGCCACACUGGAACUGAGACACGGUCCAGACUCCUACGGGAGGCAGCAGUAGGGAAUCUUCCGCAAUGGGCGAAAGCCUGACGGAGCAACGCCGCGUGAGUGAUGAAGGUCUUCGGAUCGUAAAACUCUGUUAUUAGGGAAGAACAAAUGUGUAAGUAACUAUGCACGUCUUGACGGUACCUAAUCAGAAAGCCACGGCUAACUACGUG
rnacentral:rRNA from 1 species